rnacentral:tRNA from 1 species
GCCGUCGUAGCUCAACCGGGAGAGCGCCGAUCUGAAAUGUCGGAGGUCGCUGGUUCGACACCAGCCGUCGGCACCA